rnacentral:rRNA from 1 species
UACGUAGGGCGCAAGCGUUGUCCGGAAUUAUUGGGCGUAAAGAGCGCGCAGGCGGUUGUGCAAGUCGCGUGUGAAAGCCCCCGGCUCAACUGGGGAGGGUCACGCGAUACUGCUCAACUCGAAGGCAGGAGAGGGAAGUGGAAUUCCCGGUGUAGUGGUGAAAUGCGUAGAUAUCGGGAGGAACACCAGUGGCGAAGGCGACUUCCUGGCCUGUUCUUGACGCUGAGGCGCGAAAGCUAGGGUAGCAAACGGG